UGUCUUCAUUACUUACUUCUUUUAUGUCACUUUCUGUAUUCUUCAGAAAUAGCAUUAAAUGGGUGCUGCAGAUCACUGAUCAAAACUAUAGUGCAGGCUAGGCACUGAUACCUGUAAAUUAUACCAGCUAAACGUUACAUAAUGGUUUUCUCAUUGUUGGAUAUUGAUAACACCUUUUAUCUCAUAUAUCCCUUAUAACUCAUUUAUCAUCUUCUGUUUGGAAACGUGUGGAGCUGUUUGUAUUUUUUUUUUUCAUUGGUGCUGAGUUAAAUGCUUUUCAUGUAUGUAUCUAAUUAAAUCUAAAAACUUGCCCUUAGCUACCAAAUUUAAUCACAUAAGGGAAUGGAAUCAGGUUUUUGGAAUGCAAGGUCUCAUUUCUUCCUGAAGGCUAAGGUUGGAAGUGCAGCAUUGGUGCAUAAAUAUGGGAAAGGAGGACUGAAACUGCUGUGACCCUUGCCUGGGGCUCCUUAGAGCUGGCUGCUUGGUAAGAGCACAGCUCCACACAGAGAAAAGGCGAAGAACAGCAGUGGCCUCUGGUGGCUACAGGCUAGUUCUGUGCUGAAAGUUGCCACGCUUGUCUCUCAGCAGCAAACUACAACCUUCAAUUCCAUGAGAUAAAAUGACAUCUGCUCACAAGAUUUCACUUGGACCCUAGGGACCGGACUCUGAAACAAAGAGACCCAACUGAAUCUGUAUCUUAAAUCAUUGCACAGGCUCAUUAUUCUAACUACUAGUCCUUAUUCUGUUCUGAUUCUGCCAUAGGAGUAUCUGUAUUUCUGGUGGGGUCUCUGAGUUAGGAUUAAGAACUGUGAAUCUUGAGUUCUGUUUCAGUUUUGAACUGAUGUAUACAGCAAAGUAAGAAGUAUAUAGUUUUUCAAGUCGAACGCAAAAAGCAGCUUUAGUUCCUAUUUUGGCAUUGCAGUAUUAUUGUUCCCAGCAUUUCUUUCAGUGUUCAGCAGUAGAACAUACAAUCAUGUUAAUUCUGUACUGCAGAAGUCUGUGUGUCUGUUCCAAAUUAGGUGAUAUUUGUCGAUGUGUAUCAGUGUUCUAAUGCUGCUGCUGCAUUACUCUCAUUCUCUACAAAACUAGCUCUGUAUAAAAGUUGAAAAGACAUCAGAUUUUGCUUCAGACCUCCAAGGAGCCUGUGGUACCAGGAGGCAAAAAUAACGCUUUUCAAUGAAGAGAAUGGAAUAGGUGUUGAAUAGCACAUGAAAGUAACUCCUUGUUAAUAAGGAAAUACAACACUAAAUCAUAUGUCCAAAAUAUUGUAUUUAACUUUACAACCACUUUCAUAUUAUUGAAGCUGUUUAAUCUCUGUGACUACCCUUUAUAUGUCUAUAUAAUAGACAUAUUUUUCACCUGCACUUUGCAGCUCCUGGAAGAAAGGCACUUAAUGCAUAGCUAAAGCUGUUGCUCUUCUUGUUGAGUGAAUCUGUUGUCUGUAUUUGCA
rnacentral:lncRNA from 1 species